AGCUGCACUAGGAGAGAGCAGUCACUAAUUUGUUAGUAUUUUUCACUAAUCACAAAAACAUUCAAUUGAGUAUACAAUAAACCGGUUAAUUGUAACAAAACACAAAGGUAGACAAGGAAACAUAAACAGUGUUAAAAGGAAACAGGAUAAAUACUCUCAGUAAAUGCACCCAGAGACCAACUUAGUCUAAUCUCUGGACCCUUUGAAAGCAGCAGUUUACAGUCACCGAUUAAGAUAAUCACUGCAAUAGGAUCUAAAUUCCCCAGUUUCUACAAUGUGGACUAUUAACCAUUUAAACGUCACACCCAGAGUGUAUUUACUGAACAGAAAGUUGUGGUGAGCUGAGAAUCCUCUUUAAACAUUUAUCCCAGCUGGACAUUUUUUUUUGUCUGUUUGUUUUUCCUAUCCUGUUAUUCUGAGCUCACAUCAUCAC